UACGUAGGUGGCAAGCGUUGUCCGGAUUUAUUGGGCGUAAAGCGAGUGCAGGCGGUUCAAUAAGUCUGAUGUGAAAGCCUUCGGCUCAACCGGAGAAUUGCAUCAGAAACUGUUGAACUUGAGUGCAGAAGAGGAGAGUGGAACUCCAUGUGUAGCGGUGGAAUGCGUAGAUAUAUGGAAGAACACCAGUGGCGAAGGCGGCUCUCUGGUCUGCAACUGACGCUGAGGCUCGAAAGCAUG
rnacentral:rRNA from 1 species